rnacentral:rRNA from 1 species
GACGAACCGAGCGAACGUUGUUCGGAAUCACUGGGCUUAAAGGGCGCGUAGGCGGGCUGUCAAGUCUGGGGUGAAAUCCCGCGGCUCAACCGUGGAACUGCCUCAGAUACUGACGGCCUCGAGGGAGGUAGGGGCGAGCGGAACUAAUGGUGGAGCGGUGAAAUGCGUUGAUAUCAUUAGGAACUCCGGUGGCGAAGGCGGCUCGCUGGACCUUUUCUGACGCUGAGGCGCGAAAGCGUGGGGAGCAAACAGG